rnacentral:rRNA from 1 species
UUCGGACUGCAGCCUGCAACCCGGCUGCACGAAGCCGAAUCGCUAGUAAUCGCAGAUCAGAAUGCUGCGGUGAAUACGUUCCCGGGUCUUGUACACACCGCCCGUCACACCAUGGGAGUCGGAAAUGCCCGAAGUCAGUGGCCCAACCGGAAGGAGGGAGCUGCCGAAGGCAGGUCCGGUGACUGGGGUGAAGUCGUAACAAGGUACC